rnacentral:lncRNA from 1 species
AUGCCUUGGUGUCCUCUUUUAACCAGCUGGAAGCUGACCGUGAGUGGUUGCGGACUCAUGGCAUCGCGCGUAUUGUCGAGGCUAUCAUGAACGCCCCUGAGACCGCAUCUGGUUUGGACCUGGUUAAGGAGCGUGCGCGCGAUGCUGGCUUCAAGGCUGGUUAUAACCGCUGCAUUGGGCAUAUCAAUGUUUUAUCCGCAGGCGGUUAUACUGAUC